UCGACCUGAGCUCAGGCAAGAUU
rnacentral:rRNA from 2 species